rnacentral:rRNA from 1 species
UAACGCGUGAGGAACCUGCCUUUCAGAGGGGGACAACAGCUGGAAACGGCUGCUAAUACCGCAUAACACAUAGGUGUCGCAUGGCAUUUAUGUCAAAGAUUUAUCGCUGAGAGAUGGCCUCGCGUCUGAUUAGCUAGUUGGUAGGGUAACGGCCUACCAAGGCGACGAUCAGUAGCCGGACUGAGAGGUUGGCCGGCCACAUUGGGACUGAGAUACGGCCCAGACUCCUACGGAAGGCAGCAG